AACGUAGGAGGCGAGCGUUAUCCGGAUUUACUGGGUGUAAAGCGCGUGCAGGCGGUUCUGCAAGUGGGGCGUGAAAGCGCCCGGCUCAACCGGGCGAGGACGUACCGAACUGCAGGGCUAGAGGCAGGGAGAGGCGUGUGGAAUUCCGGGUGUAGUGGUGAAAUGCGUAGAGAUCCGGAGGAACACCAGUGGCGAAGGCGACACGCUGGGCCUGGCCUGACGCUCAGACGCGAAAGCAUGGGGAGCGAAC
rnacentral:rRNA from 1 species